AUUUAUGUGCAAGCGAAAUCCGAAGAGUGUAAUCUAUCUAAGCUUUCUGUGAUGAAGGCAUCAUGAGAGCCAUCCUGUGAGCUGCACUGAAUUUGCUCCAAGGCUACAAUUUGAAGUCUUCCUACUGGUAUAUCAUGCUAAUGUUUGUUUGUUUGUUUACUCUAGCUUCUGCCAGACCCUAAACAACCCACCAAAAUCUUCUUCGGUUUCUUCAGGUGGAGGCAGCAUGGAUUAAACAGAGUCAGAAGUCCCGGGCUCUCUUCCUGGCUUAGCUCUAACACACUACAUGACCUUAUGAACCACGUCACCUUGCUGAAUCUCAACUUUCUCAUCCAUGAGUUGUUGCUAAAAGGCAAUUCCUGAGGUUAUGACUAAAUCAAAAUAUAUUCGAUGGCGAAUAGGCCUGUGCUACAUGCCUGCAUUCUGGGCUACUGGAAACUGGGCAUGUCGUGGAGCUACAGCAGAUAAUAAAGUCAAUCUCUAACGUGGUGGUUAGAGGGAGAGUUGAGGGUUUGCCAGUCUUCCAAACCAGCUGGCGCCAAUUCUGGAGGAAGCUGCUCACCCGCCCAUCUCAUCACAGCUGAAGUGCCACAAAAGACACCACGAGCACAGGGGUGGAAAUAAAACAAUAGGAAUAAUAAUACGGAACAGAACAGGAUCUUUAUUUAACAUUGGGAGAUGUUUUCAAGACAUCAACUCUGCCAUUUUACAAAAUGUGUGUGGGCAUGUUUAUAUAUUGCAGAUAAUGUAUGUACAGACCUUCCAAUACAUACACCCUGGAACACGUUUCAACAGGCCAACCUCUCAGGAAUCACCCCAGGUCGAGAGUCUAAGAGUUUCCCCAGCCUCUCACACAUUUUAUAAGUUCCAAUAUGGCACACCUGGAAAUACGGCUAAAUGCCCACUCUCCUGUUUCAAGUUGGAAAAGGAGUAGGGAAAAGUACAUCGAACAGAUUCUCUUUCCAAGAUCAGCCUGUGAUAUAGCAAAUGAAAGGCUUUGAAAGGCAGGAUUGCUGAAAAGGAAGCUUGUGUGGUUUCAAAUUAGAAGUCAUAUUGUUGCACUCACAGUUGAUCAAAUAAAUAUUAAUCACCAAAUGUAUUUAUGUCACUUCUCACGCAAUUGCAAUAUAUUUCAAAUGUGUUUUUAAAUGGUGGAUAAAACACACUGGGAGGGCAAAA